GGAAUAUCUCUAAUGGCUCACGUCCCAAUAAUCCCCACUCUUGAUUGGCAGAAACAAGCAACCGAACAGAGUCUACUUCAUUAAGAUGUAGAUCAUCACUUAACUUUAGGGCAAUUUGAACAUCCUGAUCAUCCAGUGAAAUUGGGCCAGAAUCUGGAAGUCUCACUUCUUUGGACUGGACUUGAACUCGGUCCGAGGGCUUGGGGGGCG
rnacentral:misc_RNA from 1 species